rnacentral:rRNA from 1 species
AUCUGAGCUCAAAUCAGGUAGGACUACCCGCUGAACUUAAGCAUAUCAAUAAGCGGAGGAAAAGAAACUAACAAGGAUUCCCCUAGUAACUGCGAGUGAAGCGGGAAAAGCUCAAAUUUAAAAUCUGGCGUCUUCGGCGUCCGAGUUGUAUUCUGGAGAAGCGUCUUCCGCACCGGACCGUGU